CUGUCUGGCAUGGCGUACGUUUGCACCUUGUCGACUAGUUUUUCGAUGACAAGCGCCAACCUCUCGGCUAACACCUUGGUCAGGAUUUUCAAAUCUGCGUUGAGCAGAGUGAUGGGCCUGAAGUUAUCUAUGACGUUCCCCUUGUUUGGAUCUUUCUUUAGCAGUGCCACUACUCCUCGCUUUACAAAGACGGGGAUACUCCCAUUUUGCUGCCAG